AAAAAUGUAAAUACCUUUAUUAUAAAACAAAUUCCACCUGUUAUUGAUGAUCCUAAAUGGGAAUCUUAUCCCAUUAAAUUUCAUGGAUAUUAUGAUUUAUUAGAAGAAGCUAGACAGAGAGCAACAAACUAUUCUUCAAAUAAGGAAAGCAAUAUAAAUGAAAUAAAGAAGUCCGCACAAGACAGUUGAAUAAAACUGUUUCUCACGAUGAGUCAGAAUCUGAUUCUGAUGACUCACGUUUAGUUAUACCAAAUCCACCAAAUCUUACUGUAAAUACAAAUGCCUCGCAAUCAAUUAACAAAAGUCAAUCUAUCGCAACUGUUAUUAAUUCAUCAGUUGUCAGCAAUGAUAUUGACCUGGAGAUUCUUGAUGGAAUUUUAGUAUCACUUAAAAGUAUACAGGAUGUACAUACGUUAAUAUCAGAUGGAUUCGAAAAAAUGGAAGGUCAUUUUAAGAAUAUAUAUACAGCUAUAACUACAGUUACAUUAGGAAUACAAGAAUGAAUACUAAAUGUUCAUUUAACAAAUAUAGAAAAACAAAAUAAUCAACAUAAAUCCAAAGCAUCUGUCACGGAUACAUCAAAUAUACAUCAAUUUUUUCCAUUUAAAAAUAUAAAUGAAGUAACAGCUUUUGAAAACCGUUUAUCAGAAAAUGUAGAUGAGUACAACAAAUUUCAUCUAAAUAGAACAAUAGAAAUUGUAUUUUUGGUAUGUUUUAUUUCUAAAGAUGCUGUAUAUAUCUCGCAUAGGCGGAAGGUCCGCCAAGGAAAAUUUAAUUCGCAUAUACCUUUAUUUUCCAAUGAAGUUGCCAAAGAAUCAUAUUGGAAAGGAUUACAAAAUCAUUUUAAAAUUAGUAGCUUAAAGUAUAUAUUAAUGGGAAUACUAGCAACAAUUUCCGGUCAACAUCAAUUCACAAGCAAAGAAUUUGAAGAUGUCACAAAAGAAUGGUUUCGCCAAGGUGGUCAGAGGCUUAGCAGACAAAAAGAUUCCGAAGAAACAAAUCCGCAAGUCAUUUAAAUGUUUCAGAUGCUU